rnacentral:rRNA from 1 species
UACGAAGGGGGCUAGCGUUGCUCGGAAUCACUGGGCGUAAAGGGUGCGUAGGCGGGUCUUUAAGUCAGGGGUGAAAUCCUGGAGCUCAACUCCAGAACUGCCCUUGAUACUGAGGAUCUUGAGCUCGGGAGAGGUGAGUGGAACUGCGAGUGUAGAGGUGAAAUUCGUAGAUAUUCGCAAGAACACCAGUGGCGAAGGCGGCUCACUGGCCCGAUACUGACGCUGAGGCACGAAAGCGUGGGGAGCAAACAGG